rnacentral:rRNA from 1 species
GACGAACGCUGGCGGCGUGCUUAACACAUGCAAGUCGAACGGAAAGGCCCCCACUUUUUUGGUGGGGGUGCUCGAGUGGCGAACGGGUGAGUAACACGUGGGUGAUCUGCCCUGUACUUCGGGAUAAGCUUGGGAAACUGGGUCUAAUACCGGAUAGGACCAUGGGUUAGUGUCUCAUGGUGGAAAAAUUAUUGUUUUGGUGCAGGAUGAGCUCGCGGCCUAUCAGCGUGUUGGUGGGGUAAUGGCCUACCAAGGCGUCGACGGGUGGCCGGCCUGAGAGGGUGGACGGCCACAUUGGGACUGAGAUACGGCCCAGACUCCUACGGGAGGCAGCGGUGGGGAAUAUUGCACAAUGGGCGCAAGCCUGAUGCGGCGACGCCGCGUGGGGGAUGACGGCCUUCGGGUGGUAAACUCCUUUCGUUAGGGACGAAGCCGCACCUUUUUUGGGUGUGGUGACGGUACCUUUGUUAAGAAGCACCGGCUAACUACGUG